rnacentral:rRNA from 1 species
UCGUCUGAGGGGGAGAGUGGCGAACUGGUGAGUAACACGUAGGUGACCUGCCUCGAAGACGGGGAUAACCAUCGGAAACGGUGGCUAAUACCCGAUACAUUCGGCAAUUCAGUUUGUCGAGUAAAGCUCCGGCGCUUCGAGAUGGACCUGCGGCCUAUCAGCUAGUUGGUAGGGUAAUGGCCUACCAAGGCGAAGACGGGUAGGGGGCGUGAGAGCGUGGUCCCCCACACUGGCACUGAGAUACGGGCCAGACUCCUGCGGGAGGCAGCAGUCGGGGAUAUUGCACAAUCAGCGAAAGCUGGAUGCAGCGACGCCGCGUGGGCGAUGAAGGCCUUCGGGUUGUAAAGCCCUUUUAUGGGGGAAGAGAAAAAGGACGGUACCCCAAGAAUAAGUCCCGGCUAACUACGUGCCAGCAGCCGCGGUAAAACGUAGGGGACAAGCGUUAUCCGGAUUUACUGGGCGUAAAGAGCGAUGAGGCGGUACCGUAAGUUGGGCGUUAAAGCCCCGGGCUCAACUCGAGGAGGUACGUCAAUACUGCGGAA